UGGGGAAUUUUGCACAAUGGGGGGAACCUUGAUGCAGCGACGCCGCGUGAGGGAUGGAGGCCUUCGGGUUGUGAACCUCUUUCGCUCGUGUGCAAGCCGCUAUUUGGGUAGUGGUGAGUGUAGCGGGUAAAGAAGCGCCGGCUAACUACGUGCCAGCAGCCGCGGUAAUACGUAGGGCGCGAGCGUUGUCCGGAUUUAUUGGGCGUAAAGGGCUUGUAGGCGGUUUGUCGCGCCUGUCGUGUAAUCCUCUGGCUUAACUGGGGGUGUGCGGUGGGUACGGGCAGGCUUGAGUGCGGUAGGGGGGGUAGGAAUUCCUGGUGUAGCGGUGGAAUGCGCAGAUAUCAGGAGGAACACCGGUGGCGAAGGCGGGUCUCUGGGCCGUUACUGACGCUGAGGAGCGAAAGCGUGGGGAGCGAACAGG
rnacentral:rRNA from 1 species